CCUGACGGAGCAACGCCGCGUGAGUGAUGAAGGUCUUCGGAUCGUAAAACUCUGUUAUUAGGGAAGAACAUAUGUGUAAGUAACUGUGCACAUCUUGACGGUACCUAAUCAGAAAGCCACGGCUAACUACGUGCCAGCAGCCGCGGUAAUACGUAGGUGGCAAGCGUUAUCCGGAAUUAUUGGGCGUAAAGCGCGCGUAGGCGGUUUUUUAAGUCUGAUGUGAAAGCCCACGGCUCAACCGUGGAGGGUCAUUGGAAACUGGAAAACUUGAGUGCAGAAGAGGAAAGUGGAAUUCCAUGUGUAGCGGUGAAAUGCGCAGAGAUAUGGAGGAACACCAGUGGCGAAGGCGACUUUCUGGUCUGUAACUGACGCUGAUGUGCGAAAGCGUGGGGAUCAAACAGGAUUAGAUACCCUGGUAGUCCACGCCGUAAACGAUGAGUGCUAAGUGUUAGGGGGUUUCCGCCCCUUAGUGCUGCAGCUAACGCAUUAAGCACUCCGCCUGGGGAGUACGACCGCAAGGUUGAAACU
rnacentral:rRNA from 1 species